rnacentral:lncRNA from 1 species
ACACUUUCUAGCGCCGUUUUGAAAUCAUAACGUGGUAGGGAUAAUAAGGAAGCGAUUGGUUUGUGACACACAAGAGCAGCCACUCAGCAAUAGCCUAUGUCAGCUCAUACUGCAGUUACACCUCCAUAUCCGUCGAAACAUCUGCUAUGUGCAUGUCGGCCAACGAUGGUUAACGCUCAAUCUGAUUGACUCUAGGUCUAAUGCUAAUCCAUAUACGGUUUUCUUCAAUAAGGUCCUGUGAUGAUACGGUACUAUAGCAAAGCAAUGAGAGCACAAAGAAAUUCACUCUUCUAAUUCAACACUUUCUUCUGCUGUCAAAGGCAUGUUGCUUCUGAUGAUACCUCCAUCCAAUAAGAGCUGGACGAAACAAAACUGCUUGGAUACAAAGAAAUUGAUGACUCUCAAGAGGAGAUGUAAAAGGUCACGUAACAACAAACUCUCCUUAUAUAAAAGUGACUCUGAACACCUCACUGCACCAUCUAAAUAUACCAUUUGCAAGUAUUCCCUUUGUACUACUGUAGUAUUUAUUAUAAGCGUUAGUAGUAUAUUUGUUUUUAACUGUAUAUACGGUGCAUUCGGAAAGUAUUCAGACCCCUUGACUUUUUCUCCCCACUUUGGUACAUUACUGCCUUAUUCUGAAAUUGAUUAAAUUGUUUUUUUCCCCUCAUCAAUCUACACACAAUACCCCAUAAUGACAAAGCAACUGUAAUGAAUACUCAGGGAGAAAAAGGUGUUGAUUCACGCGCAGAGUGCGGAAGGUGUUUAUUUUGCCUUUGCAGAAGGCAGGAAUCGUGGUCACAGGCAGGCAAUGGUCAUACACAGGUAGGCAAACAGGCAGGUGAAUCAAAACUAGGACUGAAGGCUAUAACUGGUUCUCACAAACGAGCUAGGAAAGGCUUAGUAAAGUCUAAACGAACAAUACCUCACAAAGGCACAAACAGAAUGAACUGAACUAAAUAAGGAGCUGAUGAGACUAUGUGAGUAACUAACACAGGUGAAAACAAUGAAUACAAAGAACACAAAGAAACAGGGCUAUAUUCAAGAAGACAAUGAAACAGAACACAAAGUUGACUAAGAAAAUAAAUACAGAACCUUACAGCAACAACAGGUUUUUAGAACAUUUCGCAGAUUUAUAAAAAAUACAAAAACUUAAAUAUCACAUUUACAUAAGUAUUCAGACCCUUUACUCAGUACUUUGUUGAAGCAAUUACAGCCUAGAGUCUUUUUGGGUAUGAUGCUACAAGCUUGGCGCACCUGUAUUUGGGGAGUUUCUCCCAUUAUUUUCUGCAGAUCCUCUCAAGCUCUGUCAGGUUAGAUAGGGAGCGUCGCUGCACAGCUGUUUUCAGGUCUCUCCAGAGAUGUUAGAUCAGGUUCAAGUCCGGGCUCUGGCUGGGCCACUCAAGGACAUUCAGAGCCUUCUCCAAAUGUCACUCCUGCAUUGUCUUCGCUGUGUGCUUAGGGUCGUUCUCCAGGUGGAAGGUGAACCUUUGCUCCAGUCUGAGGCCCAGAGCGCUCUGGAGCAAGUUUUCAUUAAGGAUACUUUGCUCCGUUCAUCUUUCCUUCGAUCCUGACUAGUCUCCCAGUCCCUGCCGCUGAAAAACAUCCCCACAGUAUGAUGCUGCCACCACCAUGCUUCACCGUAGGGAGGGUACCAGAUUUCCUCCAGACGUGACAUUUUGCAUUCAGGCCAAAGUGUUCAAUCUUGGUUUCAUCAGACCAGAGAAUGUUGUUCUCAUGGUUUGAGAAUCCUCCAAGCGGUCUGUCAUGUGCCUUUUACUGAGGAGUGGCUUCCGUCUGGCCAUUCUACCAUAAAGGCCUGAUUGGUGGAGUGCUGCAGAGAUUGUUGUCCUUCUAGAAUGUUCUCCCAUCUCCACAGAGGAACUCUGGAGCUCUGUCAGAGUGACCAUCGGGUUCUUGGUCAUCUCCCUGACCAAGGCCCUUCUCCCCCGAUUUCUCAGUUUGGCCGGGCGGCCAGCUCUAGGAAGAGUCUUGGUGGUUCCAAACUUCUUCAAAUGUAAGAAUGAUGGAGGCCACUGUGCCCUUGAGGACCUUAAAUGCUGCAGAAAUGUUUUGGUACCCUUCUCCAGAUCUGUGCCUCGACACAAUUCUGUCUCGGAGCUCUAUAGACAAUUCCUUCGAACUCAUGGUUUGGUUUUUGCUCUGACAUGCACUGUCAACUGUGGGACCUUAUAAAGUGUGUGUGCCUUUCCAAAUCAUGUCCAAUAAAUUGAAUUUAGCACAAGUGGACUCCAAUUUAGUUGUAGAAACAUCUCAAGAAUGAUCAAUGGAAACAGGAUGCACCUGAGCUCAAUUUCGAGUCGCAUAGCAAAGAGUCUGAAAAGCUAUUUAAAUAACGUGUUAUUUUGUAUUUAAUUUUUAUACAUGUGCAAAAAUGUAUAAAAACCUGUUUUUGCUUUGUCAUUAUGGGGUAUUGUGUGUAGAUUGAUGAGGGGAAAAAAUGAUUUAAUACAUUUUAGAAUAAGGCUGUAACGUAACAAAUUGUGGAAAAAGCGAAGGAGUUUAGAAUACUUUCUGAAUGCACUCUAUGUGAUGCAUUGCCAUAAUUGUUC